UGCAUGAAGCCGGAAUCGCUAGUAAUCGCGGAUCAGAAUGCCGCGGUGAAUACGUUCCCGGGUCUUGUACACACCGCCCGUCACACCAUGGGAGCCGGUAAUACCCGAAGUCAGUAGUCCAACCUCGUGAGGACGCUGCCGAAGGUAGGAUUGGCGACUGGGGUGAAGUCGUAACAAGGUAAC
rnacentral:rRNA from 1 species